rnacentral:rRNA from 1 species
CAGCCAUUCCGCGUGAGUGAAGAAGGCCUUCGGGUUGUAAAGCUCUUUCGCAAGAGAAGAAAACUUAUGAUCGAAUAAAUCAUGAGGUUGACGGUACCUUGAUAAGAAGCACCGGCUAACUACGUGCCAGCAGCCGCGGUAAUACGUAGGGUGCGAGCGUUAAUCGGAAUUACUGGGCGUAAAGCGUGCGCAGGCGGUUUUGUAAGUCGGAUGUGAAAUCCCCGGGCUCAACCUGGGAACUGCGUUCGAAACUGCAAGGCUAGAGUGUGUCAGAGGGGGGUAGAAUUCCACGUGUAGCAGUGACAUGCGUAGAGAUGUGGAGGAAUACCACUGGCGAAGGCAGCCCCCUGCGAUAACCCUGACGCUCAUGCACGAAAGCGUG